rnacentral:rRNA from 1 species
CCCCUACUGUGGGAUAGCCCAGAGAAAUUUGGAUUAAUACCACAUGGUACCAUAUUACGGCAUCGUAUUUAUGGUUAAAGGUUACGGUAGGGGAUGAGUAUGCGUCCCAUUAGUUAGUUGGCGAGGUAACGGCUCACCAAGACCGCGAUGGGUAGGGGCCCUGAGAGGGGGAUCCCCCACACUGGUACUGAGACACGGACCAGACUCCUACGGGAGGCAGCAGUGAGGAAUAUUGGACAAUGGGCGGGAGCCUGAUCCAGCCAUGCCGCGUGCAGGAAGAAUGCCCUAUGGGUAGUAAACUGCUUUUAUACGGGAAGAAAAAGGGCUACGUGUAGCCCACUGACGGUACCGUAAGAAUAAGGACCGGCUAACUCCGUGCCAGCAGCCGCGGUAAUACGGAGGGUCCGAGCGUUAUCCGGAAUUAUUGGGUUUAAAGGGUCCGUAGGCGGGCCGAUAAGUCAGGGGUGAAAGUCUGCCGCUCAACGGUAGAAUUGCCUUUGAUACUGUC